rnacentral:rRNA from 1 species
AUGAACGCUGGCGGCGUGCUUAACACAUGCCAGUCGAACGAAGCACUUUAUUUGAUUUCCUUCGGGACUGAUUAUUUUGUGACUGAGUGGCGGACGGGUGAGUAACGCGUGGGUAACCUGCCUUGUACAGGGGGAUAACAGUUGGAAACGGCUGCUAAUACCGCAUAAGCGCACAGCAUCGCAUGAUGCAGUGUGAAAAACUCCGGUGGUAUAAGAUGGACCCGCGUUGGAUUAGCUAGUUGGUGAGGUAACGGCCCACCAAGGCGACGAUCCAUAGCCGACCUGAGAGGGUGACCGGCCACAUUGGGACUGAGACACGGCCCAAACUCCUACGGGAGGCAGCAGUGGGGAAUAUUGCACAAUGGGCGAAAGCCUGAUGCAGCGACGCCGCGUGAGCGAAGAAGUAUUUCGGUAUGUAAAGCUCUAUCAGCAGGGAAGAUAAUGACGGUACCUGACGAAGAAGCACCGGCUAAAUACGUG